rnacentral:rRNA from 1 species
UUCGCCCUUAGAGUUUGAUCUGGCUCAGGACGAACGCUGGCGGCGCGCCUAACACAUGCAAGUCGAACGAGCGAGAGAGAGCUUGCUUUCUCGAGCGAGUGGCGAACGGGUGAGUAACGCGUGAGGAACCUGCCUCAAAGAGGGGGACAACAGUUGGAAACGACUGCUAAUACCGCAUAAGCCCACGGCUCGGCAUCGAGCAGAGGGAAAAGGAGCAAUCCGCUUUGAGAUGGCCUCGCGUCCGAUUAGCUAGUUGGUGAGGUAAUGGCCCACCAAGGCGACGAUCGGUAGCCGGACUGAGAGGUUGAACGGCCACAUUGGGACUGAGACACGGCCCAGACUCCUACGGGAGGCAGCAGUGGGGAAUAUUGCACAAUGGGGGAAACCCUGAUGCAGCGACGCCGCGUGGAGGAAGAAGGUCUUCGGAUUGUAAACUCCUGUUGUUGGGGAAGAUAAUGACGGUACCCAACAAGGAAGUGACGGCUAACUACGUGCCAGCAGCCGCGGUAAAACGUAGGUCACAAGCGUUGUCCGGAAUUACUGGGUGUAAAGGGAGCGCAGGCGGGAAGACAAGUUGGAAGUGAAAUCUAUGGGCUCAACCCAUAAACUGCUUUCAAAACUGUUUUUCUUGAGUAGUGCAGAGGUAGGCGGAAUUCCCGGUGUAGCGGUGGAAUGCGUAGAUAUCGGGAGGAACACCAGUGGCGAAGGCGGCCUACUGGGCACCAACUGACGCUGAGGCUCGAAAGUGUGGGUAGCAAACAGGAUUAGAUACCCUGGUAGUCCACACCGUAAACGAUGAUUACUAGGUGUUGGAGGAUUGACCCCUUCAGUGCCGCAGUUAACACAAUAAGUAAUCCACCUGGGGAGUACGACCGCAAGGUUGAAACUCAAAGGAAUUGACGGGGGCCCGCACAAGCAGUGGAGUAUGUGGUUUAAUUCGACGCAACGCGAAGAACCUUACCAAGUCUUGACAUCCCUUGACAGGCAUAGAAAUAUGUUUUCUCUUCGGAGCAAGGAGACAGGUGGUGCAUGGUUGUCGUCAGCUCGUGUCGUGAGAUGUUGGGUUAAGUCCCGCAACGAGCGCAACCCUUAUGGUCAGUUACUACGCAAGAGGACUCUGGCCAGACUGCCGUUGACAAAACGGAGGAAGGUGGGGAUGACGUCAAAUCAUCAUGCCCUUUAUGACUUGGGCUACACACGUACUACAAUGGCGUUAAACAAAGAGAAGCAAGACCGCGAGGUGGAGCAAAACUCAGAAACAACGUCCCAGUUCGGACUGCAGGCUGCAACUCGCCUGCACGAAGUCGGAAUUGCUAGUAAUCGUGGAUCAGCAUGCCACGGUGAAUACGUUCCCGGGCCUUGCACACACAACCCGUCA